rnacentral:rRNA from 1 species
GAUGAACGCUGGCGGCGUGCCUAAUACAUGCAAGUCGAGCGAACAGAUGAGGAGCUUGCUCCUCUGACGUUAGCGGCGGACGGGUGAGUAACACGUGGAUAACCUACCUAUAAGACUGGGAUAACUUCGGGAAACCGGAGCUAAUACCGGAUAAUAUAUUGAACCGCAUGGUUCAAUAGUGAAAGACGGUUUUGCUGUCACUUAUAGAUGGAUCCGCGCCGCAUUAGCUAGUUGGUAAGGUAACGGCUUACCAAGGCAACGAUGCGUAGCCGACCUGAGAGGGUGACCGGCCACACUGAAACUGAGACACGGUCCAGACUCAUACGGGAGGCAGCAGUAGGGAAUCUUCCGCAAGGGGCGAAGGCCUGACGGAGCAACGCCGCGUGAGUGAUGAAGGUCUUCGGAUCGUAAAACUCUGUUAUGAGGGAAGAACAAAUGUGUAAGUAACUAUGCACGUCUGGACGGUACCUAAUCAGAAAGCCACGGCUAACUACG